CCAGCAGCCGCGGUAAUUCCAGCUCCAAUAGCGUAUAUUAAAGUUGUUGCAGUUAAAAAGCUCGUAGUUGAAGUUUUGGUGGUUGCCACGACCCUUUUUGGUGCUUUUGUCGACCGCCAUUGUUGAGUUGAUAAUGUCUGGCAUUAGGUUGUUGGACACUGGAGACUCAUCGUUUACUGUGAGAAAAGUAGAGUGUUCCAAACAGGUGUAUGCCGUUGGAUAUAUUAGCAUGGAAUAAUGUAACAGGAUUCUGGUACUAUUUUGUUGGUUUGCGCACCAGAGUAAUGAUUAACAGGGAUGGUUGGGGGUAUUCGUAUUCCAUUGUCAGAGGUGAAAUUCUUGGA
rnacentral:rRNA from 1 species